rnacentral:sRNA from 2 species
GACGCUUAUGCGCCGUAGGCAGGAGCGGGGGACCCAAGGUAAGUGCCGGGCCCGGCAGUUCACGCGACUGCCGCAACGGCUUGGGGUGAAGACGGGCGCAUCGACGCUCGGCCGGGCAGCUCACGCCCGAACCCGACAGCUCACCUCGCAGGCGUCGGUGAGGAGAACC